rnacentral:rRNA from 1 species
UACAGAGGGGGCAAGCGUUGUUCGGAAUUACUGGGCGUAAAGCGUGCGCAGGCGGCUCCUUAAGUCAGAUGUGAAAUCCCCGGGCUUAACCUGGGAACUGCGUUUGAAACUGGGGAGCUGGAGUGUAGAAGAGGGGGGUGGAAUUCCAGGUGUAGCAGUGAAAUGCGUAGAGAUCUGGAGGAACACCGAUGGCGAAGGCAGCCCCCUGGGCUAACACUGACGCUCAUGCACGAAAGCGUGGGGAGCAAACAGG